UACAGAGGGUGCAAGCGUUAAUCGGAAUUACUGGGCGUAAAGCGUGCGCAGUCGGUUAUUUAAGUCGGAUGUGAAAUCCCCGGGCUCAACCUGGGAAUUGCAUUCGAUACUGGAUAGCUAGAGUUCGGCAGAGGGAAGCGGAAUUUCGGGUGUAGCGGUGAAAUGCGUAGAUAUCCGAAGGAACAUCAGUGGCGAAAGCGGCUUCCUGGACCAGAACUGACGAUCAGGCACGAAAGCGUGGGGAGCAAACAGG
rnacentral:rRNA from 1 species